AACGAACGCUGGCGGCAUGCCUAACACAUGCAAGUCGAACGAGACCUCCGGGUCUAGUGGCGCACGGGUGCGUCACGCGUCGGAACCUGCCCUUAGGUUCGGAAUACCUCUCCGACAGGGGUGCUAACACCGGAUAAUGUCUUCUGACCAAAGAUUUAUCGCCUUUGGAUGGGCCCGCGUUGGAUUAGCUUGUUGGGAGGGUAAAAGCCUACCAAGGCGACGAUCCAUAGCUGGUCAGAGAGGAUGGUCAGCGACACUGGGACGAAGACACGGCCCAGAAUCCUACGGGAGGGAGCAGAGGGGGAUAUUGGAAAAUGGGCGGAGGCAUGAACCAGCAAUGCCGCGAAAGUGAUGAAGGCCUGAGAGUUGUAAAGCUCUUUUACCCGGGAUGAUAAUGACGGUACCGGGAGAAUAAGCUCCGGCUAACUCCGUG
rnacentral:rRNA from 1 species